CCAGUCCCCAUUUGGGCGAAUAUUGUUAUCUUAAUUGAUUUAUUUUAUGGUGUUGUACAUACAAAGGUAUAUGUUUCCAUCCUGACAGAGUCACCAUUCUUUCCAGUUCACUGUCCCGUCCAUAGAGAGUAUUUGCUCUUUUAGUUGUUAAGAAAGGCUGUUUCUUCAACGUGCUGAGCCCCUCACUGCUGUUUCAGACAUGAAAACUCCAAAUAUAAGAUUUUAAACCUUGUUGCUGAUAGUCCCAUUUGCUUUUGUGGGACAUGAAGAGGCAUCAGUAUCAAUUUCAGUCUGUUACACAACAGUCUAUGAACUCUUGACAGCUUAAGCUUCACUAAACUCUUGUAUUCACAUGUCAGUCAUAAGUUGCUGUUCUACGAAUCCUGCUGACAGGCAGCUGUAACAUGCAGCACACAAGUGCACACAGGUCUUCUUUCUCCUGGUAGACAACGUACAAUAACCAAGUGUAUCGUUAAUAUUAUAUCAUAUCUUAUAGUAGUGAAUCAUAAUUUUACUGUAAUGACUAUUAUGUGGUGUACUGUGUAAUGUAUCAUAUCUUAUCAUGUUGUGUCGUGUAGUAUCAUAUCAUACCAUACUGUAAUGUAUAAUAUUGUAUUGUUUCUGUUUGUAUCGUAUCAUAAUGUAUUGUAUACUUUUGUAUUUUAUCGUGUCAUAUAACAUUGUAUCAUAUUGUAUUGUAAUACUUUUGUAUUGUUUGUGUUGUAUCUGUAUAGUCACUUGCACAAUCACCACAAGGGGCACUUAAGGAAAAUAGACAGGUAAAUGCUACAAAAGGGACACAGGUGAAGCAGUGAUCUGGGGAACAGGAAGAGCAUACUGUUUCAUAUCAUACUUAAUCAACUGUAUGUGUCAUACUCUAUUUUUGUAUUGCGUUAUCCUGUGUAUGUUGUUGUCAUUCGUACCGCAUCAUGUCAUAUUAUAUAAUCAUACUGUAUUGUAUUAUAUUAUUGGUAUAUAGCGCUGAUUGGAUCAUGUUGACUCCUACUGUUUAAUGUCAUUUCAUAGGCUGCUGUAUAGUGUUAUAGUCUGUUGUAGUGCAUCAUAUUGUAUUGUUUUAAUCCUCUUGCAUUUCUUCCUGUGGUAUUGUACUGCAUUGCAUGGAUUCAUAUCCUAUUGAUAAUUAAAAUAAGGCAAUGCCCUUCAUUAGGAAUGAUAUGGUUUCACACCUAUCGUUUUACAUCCUAUUUUACCACAUCUUAUUUGAUCAUAUCUGAUGGUAUGGCAUUCCACUACUUAUAACAUCCCAUGAUAUGAUAAAGUAAUAUGUUGUAUCUUCCUUUAUGAUGUUGUAUCAUAUCCUAUGGCAUUGCAUUGACGGACACCGUAUCACACCCUACUGUAUGAUAAUGAAUAGUAUAGUACAGCAUGGGUAUGUAAGACAUCAUACGUAUAUAGUAUGGUAUUGUUUUGAUGGUAUUGUAUCAUAUGGUAAAGUAUGAUAGAGUAUGUUAUGGUGUCCUUUGACAGUGUGAGAUGUCAUAUGUUACUGUGCUGACAUCAGGGUUUUUUUUAAUUUUUGUCAGUUUGGGCCGAAGUUGCUCUUCAAACCAUCAUCUGAUGGACCACCUAGGGGGACAGAUCAGAUGAUCCAGGCCGUCAGUGUGGAAAGAAGAUUAGUAAUGAGAUAAAACGAAAUAAUUAGCUGAAGGAGGACACAGUUGAGAUGUCAACCAGAGAGACGGAUCAGAGGGUCAACCAGAAAACAGGAAACCUUUUAAACCUCCUGCUCUUUUCCUUUUUUAAAAACAAGCAGUGGUUUCUGAUUUCAGCGACCCCCAAAACCCCACACAACACACACACUUCACCCACAAGUUAGACACAUAUUACACACACAUUUUUUUCUAUGCAUCCUGCAGCAACAUGCGCACACAGUCACACGAGGAAUGCAUCAUCCUCAAACACUCUCAGCCGACCGUCUGCCAUGACAUCAUUAUUUGUUUCUCUGACAUCUGUUUCCAGUGAAUCCACUCCAGAUGCAGGUGAGGAGGACGCCUGUCACCUCACAUCUCAUCAUCAUGUGAUCACACACACACACACAUGCGCACACAUGAACAUGCACACACAAAGAAAUGCACUCACUCAGACACUCAUAAAGAGUAUGAGUCACACAGGUGCGAUGUCUUCAUGGAGUACCUGUGUUUUCCUGCAGAGUGAUGUAAUGUAAAAUCUCACCUGGAUGAGUAAGAGAAGUCACACACACACACACACAGACACACACACACAUCAUUCACAUGUUACUGAGAAGUCUGUGCAGGGUCAGGAUGAUGUCAUAAAGAUCAGACGACCUCGGAAACACAACUCUGUCUGACCCUGAGCCCUGCGUGUGUGUGUGUGUGUGUUACAGGUAAUUCUGCAUGCAUAUGUGUGUUUGCACUCCUAACAGACACUUGACAGAUGUACAUGUUGUGUUCUCAUGAAAGCAGCAGCAGGGAUCUGGAAGAGUUGGCAGGAGAAAAGUAGAUUUAGUGUAGAAAGAGGAGGAGGUGAUAGAGGGAGGGUGAGGAGGGGGGGAGAUCAGUCAUUCAUAGCAGCUCUCUCUCCACAUUCCUCCCCCCUUAUAUGGACAAAACUACUGGAGCACAUCUCUCCGUGUACCACACACACACUCUGCAAACAGCUCUUCGUCCCUUCAGCCUCUGACCCACAUUAAACUGAUGUUUCCUCGCCCCAGAAUCCACUCUGAUGAGGGAAUGAAGCUGCAAAAAGGAACCCAAAACACCCCCACCGCAGACGGAGACUCUGAUAUCUCCACUCCAUCUCUCUGCUGUUUGUUUGCCUUGCUCACUUCCUCGCUCGGUUCACUGCCGAUCUCAACUUUCGAGACCCCAGAGAGGCCUGCAGGUCAUGAGGGACUCCUGCAGAGCUCAAGAGUGAGAGCGAAAGACGAAACAAGAUGAGUAGAAAUGCACUGAGGGUCUGGGGGAGUGAGGGGGAGGUUUUGGGGGUGUGCAGGCCUCCUCGAGGAGAUGGAGAUGUUGAGAGGAGGCAAAGACAGACCGUCAGAGAGAGGCAGAGAGAGAGGAAGGGAGAGGUUACCUUAAAAGGCUGUGUUUGUGGAUGGAGCGGGGCGUCAGUGUUUAAAUGUACUCUGUAAAAUGUUCGUUCUCAUGUUUACUGUCUGAAACAUACAUGAGCAGACGGGCGGAGGAGAGAGAUUAUAGACCAGAAACGUCAGAGAGGGACCACCUUCCCCUGAGCUGGACUUACAUCACAUUCCUGUGUGUAUUAAUGAUGACGGAGGAGCGUGUGUUAAUGUGUUUGUGUGUGAGUGUGUGUGGUGUGUGUUGCCAAAAUGGCCAGUAGCUACUAGAAAUGGAUUCCUGCAGUCUGAUUCAUGGGUUCAGUCCGGUCUCCUUUUAAAGGCUGUGAAUACUGAUCACCACCGUCUCAUUUGAACGCUCAAAUAUGCCGUGUCGAACCAGUUCACACGAAAAGCUUAUCUAAUUUUACUGUAACCAACUCGAUUGAGUGUUUCUGUGCUGAUUACACGCCUCGCACCUAUGAACCUAACAGGAAGUGUGGAGUCUGGAUGUGUAAACCUGCUCCCCUCCAAUCUGAAAGGUUUUCUUAAUAAGGUCACAGAUGAAACCAGAGACGUUUGUCCAUCUAUCUUCAGUCCACACCUCCCCGUCCAAACCACAGCAGAUCUGAAGUGUUUGUUUAAUCUGCGCAGGCGGGGUCCUCAGCCUUAGAUUACACAGACAACGCUUAGAGCUUUAAACAAUCAGGAGUUUUAUUUACAUUACGACCAAACCUUAACUACUGUUCCUGCUCUCUUCUGUCCAUAAUCCACAGUGUGAUUCAAGACAUGUUUAAUACCAAUGCUGGAGAGUUUGGUUAAGAUGUCAAAACUUUGGUCAAACUUUUAUGAUAGUAGAAAUUAAGUAUUUCAUGCAGGUGCAGCAACACUCAACCAGCACAAGGGUUAUAAGGCCAUUUUUCUGCAGUUUAUACCAUUAAAAAAUAAUAAUAGUAAUUAAUUUUUCCUCACGCAAAUACUUCCUCUGUAUGUUUCAGUCCUAACAAACAUGUUCUGCAGACAUCUUUAUCUCUUUUUGACAAUUUGAGGGCACAGUUUUCUCUUGUUCUGAUGUUGUUUUUUUGACACCUGCAAUAUUAAAUGUUUUUACUGGGUUGUUUAUAUUCAGUAUGCAAUGCAAUAAACAUCCACUCAUCCUCUUCUCCCUCCUGCACUGAGAAAUUAAGCCACUGCAGAGGUACCUACACCUGCAGUUCCUUUAGUGUCCACUAGAGGCUGUGUCCUGCAGUAAGUCGGCCCCCAUAGAGCCUUAUGUUAAAAUGUUUAACUUUACAGAAGCUCAUUUCUCUAAUCAGAACAAAUGUAUGGACUAAAUUGAAUUUAAAGGAAUCAUCUGUUUACAUCAGAUUAAGGAUUUAACUCACCUGUUUACAUUAGAUUUAAGAUUACACUCACCUGCUACAAUAGAUUAAGGAUUACACAGACCUGUUUACCUUAGAUUAAAGGUUACACUCACUUGUAUACAUCAGAUUAAGGAUUUGAGGGCUGGAAUAUUGGAAGUGUGCCCUCAUUGAGUGACCGGUAUAGAGGCUGUCACUUAGCCUCUGUGGUGUCCACUCUGUAAUUUAAAUACUGUCACGUCUGAUUUGAAACCUGUGAUAUUAGUGACUAAAAUGCCAAAUUUAAGGUCACAUACUCAGAGGUUGGUCUGGGGAUGGCACUGCUACAUUGAAAUCUAGUUGGCCACCCUUAAAGUCAUAUAUAUAUCUGGGCUGGGUGUUUUCUCUUUGCAUCAAUAUGCAGGUACACUGGACAACCAAAUAAUCAACACCGUUCAGCAUUAUUUUCACAGAUGCACACCUGGAAAUUUCUGGGCACUUUUUAGGAGCUCUGUUCCCCAUUUUUUUCCAGCUUUAAUCCAGAUGAGACAAAGGUUGAUAAAGCUUUUUUUUCCUAAUUGCAUGCAGUUAACAGAGUGUUCUUUUGAACACUCUGUUAAAUAGAUGCAGGGGUACCUUCCCCCAGCAGGCUGCUGCUGUAAUGGAAAAUAAAAACACCACCAUGCUUUAGUCGGCAUAUUCUUCUUUUGAAAAACUCCCAGGUGGCUUAGCUGAUAAGUCAAAAGUAAUCUACUGCAGGAUUUAGAAUUAGAGCCAAGCAUACAGGUGCAGCUAACCAAACUGAUAUCAAGGGCGACCAGAUCACAAAGAUUGAUAGAGCACAGGGAGAAUCCACAGACCUGUGGAUGAAACUACAUUUAAGAAGUGAACUGCAGCCAAACAGGAGCACCCUGACUUCAGGAAGGUCAACGCUGAGGAAGACUCUGGAUGUCCUCAGGCUGGUGGGUUUUGAUGAGUCUGAUGUCCAGCAGACACAGGGCAGAGUACUUCAUAUAUAAGGACUGUAUGAAACAGAAAGAGCAACUGAACUGGAUCUCCUGAAAAGUGCAGGUGCUGUUGCUUCAACAAGGGAUCCCUGGAUGUCGGUGAGUAUUCAGAAUUGUGUACACUGCCUAAAGUUGUGUUGUAUUGUCAGAUUUAAAAUCUGUUCUUUAUCUAAAAUCAGAUUUUUUUUUCUGUCACACUCUUACUCAGGAAAUUGCCUUGGUUGCAGGUUGGAAGAAGUGUGGGAGUAAUUCAGCUGUUUGCAGCUUACAGCUCUCUCCAAAUAUUUCAGGAAGUUUUCAGGAAUUUUUUAUGCAUGUUUGAAAACAGCUUUUAAAACUUAGCAGGUUGCAGUCAAAAAUACAAUAAUCCUCAAACCACUGAUCUCACAGAAAGUCAUCUUUUCUUCAGGAUAAUUUCACUUAAAUCACUUUAAGAAACUAAACAGUUAAAAUGUAAAUCACAGAAAUAAAAACUGAGAAGUCAGAAAACAUAAAUGGUGUAUAUGAAUUUACCUCUUUCUAAAUCAAUAGUAUGUUCUUAAUGUGUUUUUUAAAUAGACACGGAGGCUGUUUCAGCCUCAGUUUGAUGUGGCUGUGGGUCUGACCCGCUCUUGGCUUUUCUCUGGCUCAGACUGAAAUAAUCUAAACCACAUCUCUGGAUUCAGGAUCAUUUUUUUUCCUCUUUCAUUCACGAAUUUUCCCAAAAUACACACAGAAACACAGUGUGACUGUGAAGAUAGCAGAGAGCACAGAGAGGAGGCGGCCAUCAGGGCUGCAGGUGUGCACAGUUCAGACCAGGUGGAGUCAUCCAUGUUUCACCUCUGUGCCUUCAGCUCAGAACAGCUGGUUUAACAAGAGCCUUAACACACUUACACAUGAACAUGUACUCACACACUCACACACUAUGACACACAGCUGGCAUUAGAUGCAUCAAUGAUUUCAUCAUAGGCUGGUUUAAGAAGCAGACCACAUUACGUUUAGCCUGAGUAGCUCUCAGUCUGUGCAGUGUGGGAAAACACAGAAUAAAACACAAACUUUCCACCAAAACACACUCACACACACACACAUAUACACAGACAGAGAGAGAGAGAGAUUAAACACGCAGAUUGAUUUCAACAAAACUUCUAAAAAUGAUAUUAAAACAUUUUCUAUGACAUGAAGUCCAGAUAUGAUCUGAUGUGACAAGUGUGUGUGUGUGUGUGUGUGUGUGUGUGUGUGUGUGUGUGUGUGUGUGUGUGUGUGUGUGUGUGUGUGUGUGUGUGAAUCGGCCUGCAGACUUAGACUGCUCAGUGACUCAGUGAUUCCUCCUCUCUGACUGUAUACAGUGCAGUUUACAGUGUUUACAGUCAGAGCUGGUAUCAGGUGUGCUCCAGGUGCAGGUUCAGGUCAGGGACAUUUAGCUGCAGGUCUGUGCUGCUGUGAUGACUCUUGGCUCUUCGUCUGCAGCUCUCUCUCUCUCUCUCUCUCUCUCUCACUCCCCAAAUGGGUUUUCUGGCAGUUACACCACAAGAAAAUCCUAAAAUUCCUGGUGAAGAUAAUUUCUCAAUCUUUAUAAAAUGAUUUUGUUGGAUAGUGUUUCAGAUCUCUUGGAUCUUGUCAUUGUCCUUGAUUUUGGUCAGCCGUCCUCUCGGGUCUGCGUCCUUCAGUUUCUCCUCUGUAAGUUUCUGUGUUACAGAUUUUCUUUCUCAGCUGGUCAUAAAAACUUCUCCAUAUUACACAUGUCUAAAUAUGGACUCGGUUCCUUUUAAUGGGAGAAGUUUUUCCAUAUUCACUCCUCUUUGCUGUGUUUGAGACUCUUUUAUAUGCACAUGUGAGCUCUUUGACUCAGCCGAGUGAGAAACCUGCGUCUUAAAUAACUGUGAGCUGAGUUUAAAGUUCUGUUUAUGGGCUCUCGGACCAAAUGUUCCUGUGAACACUGCAACAGAAUUCACUUUAAAUCAAUCAGUGUGAAAAGACCAACAUUCAGAGGUAUCAACAGAGAGCAGUUUGAGCCUCCUCCUCCAUCACUUCCACUUAAACAGUUUCCCAGUUUAGCUCUUUAACUGGCUGACAGAGAGAUGCUUUGUUAGGAGGCCGUCAGCCUGGCCGUAAACUCCUGAUUUAAAGACUUUAUCUAAAACUGUCCGCUGAUCUCUAAAGAGAGGCUCCAUACAAAAUGUCAAACAAUAUCUGAAUUUAAAAUGUAAAACUAUUUUCAAUCUCAGACAGUUAGGGUUCAAUCUAAAAGUCAAAUCUUAAUGCAAAAUAUAAAUCUCGAGCAAAAUGUUUCACUUAACUGAAAAAUAGAAAUGGUUAAUGAUCAAUCUGAUUGUUAAAUUAUUAAUGAUAAUUAAAAAGUGCAGAUGUUUUAAUCCAAAUGUUAAAAGCUAAAUUUAAAUAAAAAAUGAAAGUCUAAAUGUUUAUGAUAAAGUGAAUAUUAAAAUGCAAUUCUUAAUGUUUAAAUUUCAAUGAUAAAUAGUUCAUGUAAACAUAAAAUGCCACUCGAUAAAUAUAAAUAUAUAAAUAGAGAUAUAAAAUUAUGUAAAAUGUCUUAUCUAUAUAGAAAUGCACAAACAUAAUGUUAAAAUUAAAUCUAAAAUCAAUCUUGAUGUUUAACGUUGAAUGAUAAUCUUAAAUAUAAAGUUAAACGUUAAAAUAAUUUGUGCAGUCCCAAUGUGGAAUAUUAAUUGUCAGUGUUUAAUCAAGAUACUUAUAAACAUGGUAAUGUUUUAUUUACAUGUUAAAGUUAAAAUAUACAUGUUUUACUUAGAUCAUUAAGCCUGCAUAUAUAUUAUUUAGUCUAAAUCUUAAAUGGUUAAUUUUCAUGGUAAUUAUAGAUAAAAAUAAACAUAAGUGUUUAUUUUCGAAUCUCUUGUGUACAGUGUCCAAUGUUUACUGUAAAUGUAAAUUGUCAUGACUGAAGUAAUUUUAACUUUUAAAAGAUCAUUUAACAUUUAGAUAUUUAUGAAACGUCCACAUUAGCAGUGACUCUGUUUGUUUUGUGUUGUUUAUUCUAAAAUAAACCUGUGAGAGGUUCCUGGGAUGAAAAAAAACACUGUGUUUGUGUGUGUGUGUGUCUUUUUAUAUGUUUUAGAGCAAAUGUGGAGAAAUAUUGCCAUUACUUUCAGUUUUCCUGAAUACCAAUAAAAGUAUUUUCUGUCACUCUAUUUUAUUUGUGCAGGUUUUGGUCAGAAAUGUUGAUUCAAGACAAAUACAGACAACUCUGGAAUAACCUGCCUCAGCAUAUCAGACAGGCCUCCUCUCUGUCUGUUUUUUAAUCCCAUUUUAAGACCCACCUCUUCUCCUUGGCUUUUAACACUCAGUAGGAGGUUGAUUUCAUUUUAUUGUCUUUUAUGGAUUUUUUUGCUUUUUAUUUGAUUGUACUGUGUUUUUAUCUAACUUUAUCUAUCUUGCCGUGCAGCAC